rnacentral:rRNA from 1 species
CAUGCAAGUCGAGCGCCCCGCAAGGGGAGCGGCAGACGGGUGAGUAACGCGUGGGAAACUACCCUUUGGUACGGAAUAACACAGAGAAAUUUGUGCUAAUACCGUAUGUGCCCUUCGGGGGAAAGAUUUAUCGCCAUAGGAUGUGCCCGCGUAGGAUUAGCUAGUUGGUGUGGUAAUGGCGCACCAAGGCGACGAUCCUUAGCUGGUCUGAGAGGAUGACCAGCCACACUGGGACUGAGACACGGCCCAGACUCCUACGGGAGGCAGCAGUGGGGAAUAUUGGACAAUGGGCGCAAGCCUGAUCCAGCCAUGCCGCGUGAGUGAUGAAGGCCUUAGGGUUGUAAAGCUCUUUCACCCACGACGAUAAUGACGGUAGUGGGAGAAG